GACGAACGCUGGCGGCGUGCUUAACACAUGCAAGUCGAACGGGCCCGUCUUCUUUUUUGGGGGCGGGUUGAGUGGCGAACGGGUGAGUAUCACGUGAGUAACCUGCCCUCCUCUCCUGGAUAACCGCUUGAAAGGGCGGCUAAUACGGGGUGGUCCGGUUGGUCCGCAUGGGCCGGCUGGGAUAGUUUCAUCUUCGGGUGUUUCGGUGGGGGAUGGGCUCGCGGCCUAUCAGCUUGUUGGUGGGGUGAUGGCCUACCAAGGCGGUGACGGGUAGCCGGCCUGAGAGGGUGGGCGGCCACACUGGGACUGAGACACGGCCCAGACUCCUGCGGGAGGCAGCAGUGGGGGGUAUUGCACAAUGGGCGGAAGCCUGAUGCAGCGACGUCGCGUGAGGGAUGGAGGCCUUCGGGUUGUGAACCUCUGUUUCCGGUGGUGAAGGCCCUGCCCUUGGUGGUGGGGUUGACG
rnacentral:rRNA from 1 species